rnacentral:rRNA from 1 species
GUGGAUUAGAUACCCUGGUAGUCCCCGCCGUAAACGAUGAGCACUAGGUGUCGGGGCCGCAAGGUUUCGGUGCCGCAGUUAACGCAUUAAGUGCUCCGCCUGGGGAGUACGCACGCAAGUGUGAAACUCAAAGGAAUUGACGGGGACCCGCACAAGCAGCGGAGCAUGUGGUUUAAUUCGAAGCAACGCGAAGAACCUUACCAGGGCUUGACAUCCUUCUGACCGGAACUUAACCGUUCCUUUCUUCGGACAGAAGUGACAGGUGGUGCACGGCCGUCGACAACU